rnacentral:lncRNA from 1 species
AUGCAAACCCAUAGACAUAGACAAGCUGGAGAGACAGGCAUAGGACUACCAAAAGCUCACUACAAUCUACAAUCGGGGAUCCCUAAAUGCCUAUUGGAUUGGAUGACAGACAGGGACCAUAUUCGAUUUCCUCGUAUAGAACCAACCCCCAAAAAGGUCACUGGAAAUGGCUGCCUCACUGCGUGGACUCCUACCAUCGAAGCAAACUAG